CACUGGAGGGAGGUGGGGGGCUCUGCCUCCACAGGCCAGACUGGCAAAUUCAAUUGUGUUGCCACUCCGAGCUGCAGGACCACUGGACACAGAUGGAAACCAGCUUAUCACUAUUGGUCUUUUGCCACCACUGACCUAUAUAACUGGAGAACCCAAAAUGCCCGGUUCUCUGAAAAUCCUAAUGAGCUCUUAGCUUUACUAGAACCUGUCCUUUUCACCCACCAGCCGACAUGGGACAAAUGCCAACAGCUCUUCCAGAUUCUGUUCACCACCGAGGAUCGAGAGUGAAUCCUAUCCAGAGCCCGUGAACUAGUCCCGGGCAAGAACGGACAGCCCGUGGGCAAUCCUGAUACUAUCAACACCAAAUUCCCUUCGUCCUGGCCAGAAUGGGACUUCAACACAGCUGAAGCCUUCCCCAGCACCUAAGAGCCAAUAAUUCUUCACCUUCGAGUGGUUGGACCCUGAACGUGGAUUCAGCAGACAGUUAACUUGGAAACGCUUGCCUCAGGGCUUCAAAAAUGCACCUAGUAUCUUCAAUGAAGCCUUACAUGAAGAUUUGGGUACCCACAACCUUAAACCCCACGACUUUGCUGCCAGACCCAGACCUUGAUACUCCCUUCCACUAUGCAUCGAAAUCCUCGCACAGGCUCAUGGAAUCUGACCUGACUUGAGAGAUCAGCCCUUGCCAGAUGCAGAAAUCACCUGCUGUAUGGAUGGGAGCAGUUUUGUGUCAAAGGCACUGAGGACAACCUCAUUUCAGGACGGACAUCUACAAAGGACCCGGACAAUCCCUUAAAGCUAAAUCUUCAACAUGUGGAACCUUGCAAAUACUGUCUUCCCUCCUCUGGAUAGCUUAGGCAAGGGACUCCCCUCACCAGCUCCUCAAAAUGACCUGGCUCAUUCCUAGCACCACUGCAGGAGACAUUGUCAAUACCACCACUGCAUUCGUC